rfam:Triticum aestivum genome assembly, contig: Triticum_aestivum_CS42_TGACv1_scaffold_131420_2BL
UGAAUACUCCCUCCGUCCGAAAAUACUUGUCAUAUAAAUGGAUGUAUCGAGACGCAUUUUAGUUCUAGAUACAUCCACUUUUAUUCAUUUUUGUGACAAGUAAUUCCUGACGGAGGGAGUACGAU